CCUAUCCUAAAUAUCCAGAACUGUUUUCUUGCGAAAAUCUGUUUUUAGACCUUGGUCGGUUGAUUUUUAUGUACUGAAGGGGAAUAUAAUCGAGUAAUGGACAUAUAUUGGGACUUUAUGACGCUUCGGAGAACUCAGACCUCCAUCAAUCACUGUUGAGCCUGCCAGUUUGGGUUGAAUGGCCAGAACGGAGCGGUGCUAGCCCAGCUGUCUGACACCGAUGGACAUCCGUCUUGACGACUUGUAACAUCCUGC